CUGAAGUUACAUCUUCCUUGCAUACAGGACAUGCCAUAUAACCCUUUGUGCUCCACCCAGAAACCAUUGCAUAUGCUGGAAAAUCAUUCACAGUCCACAUAACUGCUGCUCGCAAAGUGAACAUCCUCCGAGUUGAUUUAUCGUACGUGCGAACACCGUUUGUCCAUAAAUCCUUCAGCUCAUCAACCAGAGGCCUUAAGUACACAUCAAUUGACCUGC
rnacentral:lncRNA from 1 species